GUCUUCGUUUUUGUUAUGGACUGUCUGUCUGUGUAUUACGGGUCUAGCUACUUUGACUACUGGGGAAAAGGGACCAAAGUCACCGUUUCAUCAGCCGAAUCAUCUGCACCAAAGUCAAUCUUCGCCAUGUCCCAGUGUACUCCUGAUACUUCUGGGUAUGUCACCGUUGGCUGCAUGGCAAGAGGUUUCGCACCUGAGGACUCGCUUACUUUUAAAUGGACGGAUAAUACUCAGAAGGAGCUGAGUGACAUCGUGCAGUAUCCAGCAUUCGGGAGUGGUGGACAAUACACCAAAAUCAGCCAUAUGCGCUUAAAAAAAAGCGAUUUGGAUCCCCAAAAACCAUACACGUGCGAAGCUUCAAAUUCUAAAGGAAAAAUAGAAACUAAAAUUACUGGACCAUCCCCACCUCCAGAUCAACGUGCAACCGUGUACUUAACAGUACCUACAAAAACGGAGUUAGAAAAUGAAACAGCAACCUUCACGUGUUUAGCCCGACGGUUUUCGCCUAAAACACACACGUUUGAGUGGUCUCUGAAUGGUCAGAAGGUGAAAAAUGAGAUAGACAAAUAUGAAAAAAGUGAGAAGAAUGGCUCAGUAACCGAAUAUAGUGCCACGAGCAUUUUUCAAAUCAGUGCCGGGGAGUGGAAGAAAUCAGAGAGCAAAGUUAAGUGUAAGUUCGUGCACAAGGCGGGAAAUGAAGAAGUAGAGGCCGAAUAUGCAGCUCCUAUUCAAGAUUGCAGCGAUAUUGAUGUUCAUAUAGUGCCUCCCUCCCUUGAAGCCAUGCUGAAAAAUAGAACAGGAGUGCUGAAGUGCAAAGCUUUAGCAGAAAAUACAGGAUUUGCCAAAAUAACAAUAACAGCUGAUAAGAACAACAUCGCUGAGAGAGAUAUAAAGGGCACCUUCAAAUAUGUGGAACUUGAUGCCCCAAUAGGCUAUGAAGAAUGGAGCAACGGCACUGAAUUUACCUGCACCGUUGAGCACAACGAGCUAGCAGAGCCCAAGUCGACCAAGUUCGUCAGAGAAAAUGGUAAAAACCCCAAGAAACCCACUGUUUUCGUAUUAGCACCCCCAGAGCACAAGCCGGGUGAACCGAUGACCCUGACAUGUUAUGUGAAGGACUUCUACCCCAAAGAGGUGUAUGUGUCUUGGCUUGCUGAUGAUGAACCUGUGACUUCUAAAUACAGCACUAGCCUGCCAAUUCAGAAAGAUCAAACCUUCUCAGUCUACAGUCAGCUAACAGUUAAUGAUUCCAAGUGGAAGAAUGGUACAGUGUUCAGUUGUGUCGUGUAUCACGAAGGCAUUGAUGAAAAAAUGCGCGUACUGACGAGAUCUAUUAUUGAUAACAUUGAUAAGGCAGGUGUAAUUAAUCUAAGUAUGAAUACCCCUGCAUCUUGCAUGCCCUAAAGCAUUGUGUAUGUGAUGUCUUCCUGUUAUGCCUGUUAAGUGUUUUCUUUUUGUUUUUGAGUUGCAUGUCCAUAUUUGUAAUUGUGUUGGUCUUUAAUGUUUGUUGCUUCUUGCUUCUUUGAGAUACUUUCUUGCAUAUUACAUUUAGGAAAAUACUAAUAAAAAAGAAACAAAGCAUAA